rnacentral:lncRNA from 1 species
AUGGGUUGUUCAGGGCAAGUCGAGAUGGGCUGGCCUGCCUCUUUUUUUCUUUUUAGUACCAUAUAUUAUUUUAGUACUAUAUUUUUUUUAUUUAUAUUGCUAUUUUAUAGGUUUUUUGCUAUAUAUCAAUAUUAAAACUAUUCAAAUACCUUCCCAAUCAUAUUUUUAUACUUCAUAAUUUACCAGUACUUCAUUAUGCUGGA